rnacentral:rRNA from 1 species
UACGUAGGGUGCAAGCGUUAUCCGGAAUUAUUGGGCGUAAAGAGCUCGUAGGCGGUUUGUCGCGUCUGCUGUGAAAACUGGGGGCUCAACCCCCAGCCUGCAGUGGGUACGGGCAGACUAGAGUGCGGUAGGGGAGAUUGGAAUCCUGGUGUAGCGGUGGAAAUGCGCAGAUAUCAGGAGGAACACCGAUGGCGAAGGCAGGAAUC